rnacentral:lncRNA from 1 species
UGGGGGUGAUCGUCAGCUUUCUCCAAUAGUUACCGAAAGUGAUGUUUUUUUUUUAUCUACUGACCUACAAGGCUACCACUACUCUACAAGAAAUGGUAUCAUGUAUUUAAGAGAUGUUAUAAAAACUAAUAUUGUAGCUUAUUUUACUAUAUUAGGAAUAUGAUCUUCACAUUUGCAAAGUAUAUACAGUGUAUAAACAUUUUCUGAUCAAACUAGUUAGGUUUGACUGCACACAUCAAAUGGUUAUUUUUACCGUUGUUUUUUUCUUUUGGACCAGG